rnacentral:rRNA from 1 species
UAGGGAAUCUUCCACAAUGGACGCAAGUCUGAUGGAGCAACGCCGCGUGAGUGAAGAAGGUCUUCGGAUCGUAAAGCUCUGUUGUUGGUGAAGAAGGAUAGAGGCAGUAACUGGUCUUUAUUUGACGGUAAUCAACCAGAAAGUCACGGCUAACUACGUGCCAGCAGCCGCGGUAAUACGUAGGUGGCAAGCGUUGUCCGGAUUUAUUGGGCGUAAAGCGAGCGCAGGCGGAAUGAUAAGUCUGAUGUGAAAGCCCACGGCUCAACCGUGGAACUGCAUCGGAAACUGUCAUUCUUGAGUGCAGAAGAGGAGAGUGGAACUCCAUGUGUAGCGGUGGAAUGCGUAGAUAUAUGGAAGAACACCAGUGGCGAAGGCGGCUCUCUGGUCUGCAACUGACGCUGAGGCUCGAAAGCAUGGGUAGCGAACAGGAUUAGAUACCCUGGUAGUCCAUGCCGUAAACGAUGAGCGCUAGGUGUUGGGGACUUUCCGGUCCUCAGUGCCGCAGCAAACGCAUUAAGCGCUCCGCCUGGGGAGUACGACCG